UACGAAGGGGGCUAGCGUUGCUCGGAAUGACUGGGCGUAAAGGGCGCGUAGGCGGCCUGAAAGGUCAGCUGUGAAAACUCGAGGCUCAACCUCGAGACGUCGGUUGAAACCAUCUGGCUAGAGUCCGGAAGAGGAGAGUGGAAUUCCCGGUGUAGCGGUGAAAUGCGCAGAUAUCGGGGAAGAACACCCGUGGCGAAGGCGGCUCUCUGGGACGGUACUGACGCUGAGACGCGAAAGCGUGGGGAGCGAACAGG
rnacentral:rRNA from 1 species